rnacentral:lncRNA from 1 species
AAGAACCAUACCCUGUUGACAGUGUCCCUGUCCCUUAAUCAUCAGGCUACCCUCGGAUUCUUCCCUCCAGAUAUUAAUGAGGUGGGCGGGAAGGAUAGAGCCCAACUUAUUAUAUACGGAUACGGAUAUUCCUUGUCAUUCUAAUCUUGAUAUAGUUCCAACAGGCCUAUUCUUUGACUCUCCUAUAGUGUAUAGUAUAUUCUUUCCAUCUUCCUACUAGGAUAGAUAUUCUAACAACAAACUACCUAGCUUAGCUAGUUGGCAGCUCCGCAUCGUGAACUGCAUCGGAAAGGGCAUC